rnacentral:rRNA from 1 species
GACGAACGCUGGCGGCGUGCCUAAUACAUGCAAGUAGAACGCACAGUUUAUACCGUAGCUUGCUACACCAUAGACUGUGAGUUGCGAACGGGUGAGUAACGCGUAGGUAACCUGCCUGGUAGCGGGGGAUAACUAUUGGAAACGAUAGCUAAUACCGCAUAAUAUUAAUUAUUGCAUGAUAAUUAAUUGAAAGGUGCAAUUGCACCACUACCAGAUGGACCUGCGUUGUAUUAGCUAGUAGGUGAGGUAACGGCUCACCUAGGCGACGAUACAUAGCCGAACUGCGAGGGUGGUCGGCCGCCCUGGGACUGAGACACGGCCCAGACUCCUACGGGAGGCAGCCGUAGGGCAUCUUCGGCAAUGGACGGAAGUCUGACCGAGCAACGCCGCGUGAGUGAAGAAGAAUUUCGGAUCGUAAAGCUCUGUUGUAAGAGAAGAACGGGUGUGAGAGUGGAAAGUUCACACUGUGACGGUAUCUUACCAGAAAGGGACGGCUAACUACGUG